rnacentral:rRNA from 1 species
UCCUAUAACAUAGAGUUAAUGCAUCGGAUCCCAUUAGAACUUUGUAGUUAAGCGCGCUCAAGCUAGAGUAGUACUGGGAUGGGUGACCGCACGGGAAGUCCUAGUGUGUUACAUGCC